rnacentral:rRNA from 1 species
GUAUAUUUUUAUAUUUUUUUGAUAUCUCGUCCGAUCGUCAGGUUAAGCAAAGUUGGACCUGAUUAGUAAUUGGAUCGGAGAUAACCUGGGAAUCCCAGGUGGUGUAGACA